rnacentral:rRNA from 1 species
UACGGAGGGUGCGAGCGUUGUCCGGAAUCACUGGGCGUAAAGGGCGCGUAGGCGGCCUGAUAAGUAGGGGGUGAAAUCCUGCGGCUUAACCGCAGGGCUGCCUUCUAAACUGUCAGGCUCGAGCACAGUAGAGGCAGGUGGAAUUCCUGGUGUAGCGGUGGAAUGCGUAGAGAUCGGGAAGAACAUCAGUGGCGAAGGCGGCCUGCUGGGCUGUUGCUGACGCUGAGGCGCGACAGCGUGGGGAGCAAACAGG